ACGGGUGAGUAACGCGUGGGUAACCUGCCUCAUACAGGGGGAUAACAGUUGGAAACGACUGUUAAUACCGCAUAAGACCACAGCACCGCAUGGUGCAGGGGUAAAAACUCCGGUGGUAUGAGAUGGACCCGCGUUCGAUUAGCCAGUUGGCGGGGUAACGGCCCACCAAAGCGACGAUCGAUAGCCGAUCUGAGAGGAUGACCGGCCACAUUGGGACUGAGACACGGCCCAAACUCCUACGGGAGGCAGCAGUGGGGAAUAUUGCACAAUGGGGGAAACCCUGAUGCAGCGACGCCGCGUGAGUGAAGAAGUACUUCGGUAUGUAAAGCUCUAUCAGCAGGGAAGAAAAUGACGGUACCUGAGUAAGAAUCCCCGGCUAACUACGUGCCAGCAGCCGCGGUAAUACGUAGGGGGCAAGCGUUAUCCGGAUUUACUGGGUGUAAAGGGAGCGCAGACGGUUGCGCAAGUCUGAAGUGAAAUCCCAAGGCUUAACCACGGGACUGCUUUGGUAACUGUGCGACUUGAGUAUCGGAGGAGCAGGCAGAAUUCCUAGUGUAGCGGUGAAAUGCGUAGAUAUUAGGAAGAACACCGGUGGCGAAGGCGGCCUGCUGGACUAAAACUGACGUUGAGGCUCGAAAGCGUGGGGAGCAAACAGGAUUAGAUACCCU
rnacentral:rRNA from 1 species